UCGGGCCACCGGGCCGCGGGAGGGGUGCGCAGCCCAGACCCUCGGGGAGAACAAGAGGGCCCGAGUGACAAACUUCGGGAAAUAAGCGCCCCGGUCCACAGGGGCUUUGAGAGGACCGGAACGGGUUAAAGGCAACCUCGACAGCAACUGCGCUCGGAAACCACCUAGCGCCCCGCCCUCGCCGCCCCCACCCUUUUCCAUUAUUUUCUACCCAACCCCGAGCGCCGGGGAGGGCUCUGAUUGGCCCGCUCGGCCCCCGGCCCGCCAAUCAGCAGCUUGUUGCCAAGAAGCUCGGCACUCAUCUGGGUGCUUCACCCUCCCAGCAACGCUGACCUUAAGUUCAGUAUCAAAACUGUGUCACAGAGCUAAUACCUGACAGAGCUGGACCAGAACCUGGCUGGGGAACCCCGUAGACCUCUUCUUCCUGCCAUAUCAGCAGAGAGAGAGGCCUUGAAGCAGUGUGUGCCCAGCAGCAGGACUAGCUGCCUUCUCAAUAUUUCCAAACAGCUCGCUGAAUGGUUUCACCACAUAUCAAUAAAAUGAACCAAUCAAGAUGGUGAAUUGUCUGUUACAUAUUUUACCGCAACAGCCAAAAAAAUGAAACCAGAGGAUAUCCUGCCAUGGGCCUGUCCCCAGUGAACCAACCCAGAUCAUCUCUGAGUACCAGAAGAGAGGUAAAGAGGUGAUCCCCUAUACCUCACCACUUUUGUCUGUAUCCAAAGUGGAUCUUGAUUAGGGCAAACAUGAAUUUUGAAGUUGGGGAGCAGUGGUUAGGAGUACAGGAAGGACAG